rnacentral:tRNA from 1 species
GAGGAUAUAGCUCAGUGGUAGAGUGCCUGCCUAGCAUGCACAAGACCCCGGGUUCAAUCCCCAGUACCUCCA